ACACGACUACAUUAGAUACCCGGUAGUCCCAGCCCUAAACGAUGCGCGUUAGGUGUAUCGGUGACCACGAGUCACCGAGGUGCCGAAGGGAAACCGUGAAACGUGCCGCCGUGGGAAGUACGGUCGCAAGGCUGAAACUUAAAGGAAUUGGCGGGGAGCACCACAACGGGUGGAGCCUGCGGUUUAAUUGGACUCAACGCCGGGAAGCUCACCGGAUAAGACAGCGGAAUGAUUGCCGGGCUGAAGACCCUGCAUGACCAGCUG
rnacentral:rRNA from 1 species